CUCCUCAGUGUCCCUGUAAAUAAUAACUGGACACACACACACACACAGGACACACACACACACACACACACACACUGGACAAACACACACACACUGGACAAACAAACACACACACACACUGGACAAACACACACACACACACACACACACACUACACAAACACAGACACACACACUGGACAAACACACACUGGACACACACACACUGGACACACACACACUGGACACACACACACUCACUGGACAAACACACACACACAGACACACACACACACACUGGACAAACACACACACACACACACAGGACACACACACACACACACAGGACACACACACACAGGACAAACACACACACACACACACACACUGGACAAACACACACACACACACACACUGGACAACACACACACACACACACACUGGACAAACACACACACACACACUGGACAAACACACACACACACACACUGGACAAACACACACACACACACACACACACACACUGGACAAACACACACACACACACACUGGACAAACACACACACACACACACACACACACUGGACAAACACACACACACACACACUGGACAAACACACACACACACACACACACACUGGACAAACACACACACACACACACACACUGGACAAACACACACACACACACACUGGACAAACACACACACACACACACACACACUGGACAAACACACACACACACACACAACACACACUGGACAAACACACACACACACACACACACACACUGGACAAAGACACACACACACACACACACUGGACAAACACACACACACACACACACACACACACACACACACACACACACACACUGGACACACACACACUGGACUCACACACAAACACACACACACACUGGACUCACACACACACACACAAACACACACACACACUGGACAAACACACACACACUGGACAAACAAACACACACACACACUACACAAACACACACACACACACACUGGACAAACACACACUGGACAAACACACACUGGACAAACACACACUGGACACACACACACUGGACACACACACACUGGACACACACACACACACUCACUGGACAAACACACACACACACUGGACAAACAGGACACACACACACACACACACAAACACACACUGGACACACACACACACUGGACACACACACACACACACUGGACAAACACACACACACACACACACACUGGACAAACACACACACACACACACUGGACACACACACACACACACACUGGACAAAUACACACACACACACACACACUGGACAAACACACACACACACACACUGGACACACACACACACACACUGGACAAAUACACACACACACACACACACUGUACAAACACACACACACACACCCUGGACAAACACACACACACACGCGCGUCUUCCUAUAAUUGUGGACCUUGACCCAGGACCUCUUACAAUAACACCGUUAAAAUACCAAUGUGAUCAUUUGUUGUCUUUUAUGUUGAAUAACAAAUUGUAUAAUUAUAUGUGGACAUACGCUCCAUAG
rnacentral:lncRNA from 1 species